AGCGAACGCUGGCGGCAGGCCUAACACAUGCAAGUCGAACGGAUCCUUCGGGAUUAGUGGCGGACGGGUGAGUAACACGUGGGAACGUGCCCUUUGGUUCGGAACAACUCAGGGAAACUUGAGCUAAUACCGGAUGUGCCCUUCGGGGGAAAGAUUUAUCGCCAUUGGAGCGGCCCGCGUCUGAUUAGAUAGUUGGUGAGGUAACGGCCCACCAAGGCGACGAUCAGUAGCUGGUCUGAGAGGAUGAUCAGCCACACUGGGACUGAGACACGGCCCAGACUCCUACGGGAGGCAGCAGUGGGGAAUCUUGCGCAAUGGGCGAAAGCCUGACGCAGCCAUGCCGCGUGAAUGAUGAAGGUCUUAGGAUUGUAAAAUUCUUUCAGCGGGGACGAUAAUGACGGUACCCGCAGAAGAAGCUCCGGCUAACUUCGUG
rnacentral:rRNA from 1 species